UACGUAGGGUGCGAGCGUUAAUCGGAAUUACUGGGCGUAAAGCGUGCGCAGGCGGUUUUGUAAGCCAGAUGUGAAAUCCCCGGGCUUAACCUGGGAACUGCAUUUGGGACUGCAAGGCUUGAGUACGGCAGAGGGGGGUGGAAUUCCGCGUGUAGCAGUGAAAUGCGUAGAGAUGCGGAGGAACACCGAUGGCGAAGGCAGCCCCCUGGGCUAACACUGACGCUCAGGCACGAAAGCGUGGGGAGUAAACAGG
rnacentral:rRNA from 1 species